UACGGGGGGGGGUAAGCGUUGUUCGGAAUUACUGGGCGUAAAGGGCUCGUAGGCGGCCAACUAAGUCGGACGUGAAAUCCCUCAGCUUAACUGGGGAACUGCGUCCGAUACUGGAUGGUUUGGAUUUGGGAGAGGGAUGCGGAAUUCCAGGGUGUAGCGGUGAAAUGCGUAGAUAUCUGGAGGAACACCGGGUGGCGAAGGCGGCAUCCUGGACCAAUAUUGACGCUGAGGAGCGAAAGCCAGGGGAGCAAACGGG
rnacentral:rRNA from 1 species